GUGUCAGCCGCCGCGGUAAUACGAAGGGUGCAAGCGUUGUUCGGAAUUACUGGGCGUAAAGCGCGCGUAGGCGGGUUUGUAAGUCGAUUGUGAAAUCCCUGGGCUUAACCUGGGAACUGCAGUCGAAACUGCAAAUCUUGAAUGUCUGAGAGGAUGGCGGAAUAACCGGUGUAGUAGUGAAAUACGUAGAUAUCGGUUAGAACACCUGAGGCGAAGGCGGCUAUCUGGCGGCACAUUGACGCUGAGGCGCGAAAGCGUGGGGAGCAAACAGGAUUAGAUACCCUGGUAGUCCACGCCGUAAACUAUGAUUACUAGGUGUCCGGGAUGUUAACCUCCUGGGUACCGGAGCUCACGCAUUAAGUAAUCCGCCUGGGGAGUACGGUCGCAAGACUAAA
rnacentral:rRNA from 1 species